rnacentral:rRNA from 1 species
UACGGGGGGAGCAAGCGUUGUUCGGAUUUACUGGGCGUAAAGGGCGCGUAGGCGGCGUAACAAGUCACUUGUGAAAUCUCCGGGCUUAACUCGGAGCGGUCAAGUGAUACUGUUGUGCUAGAGUGCGGAAGGGGCUACUGGAAUUCUCGGUGUAGCGGUGAAAUGCGUAGAUAUCGAGAGGAACACCUGAGGUGAAGACGGGUUGCUGGGCCGACACUGACGCUGAGUGCGCGAAAGCCAGGGGAGCAAACGGG